rnacentral:rRNA from 1 species
AAUAGAUACCCUGGUAGUCCACGCCGUAAACGAUGAGUGCUAAGUGUUGGGGGGUUUCCGCCCCUCAGUGCUGCAGCUAACGCAUUAAGCACUCCGCCGUGGGGAGUACGGUCGCAAGACUGAAACUCAAAGGAAUUGGACGGGGGCCCGCACAAGCGGUGGAGCAUGUGGUUUAAUUCGAAGCAACGCGAAGAACCUUACCAGGUCUUGACAUCCCGGUGACCACUAUGGAGACAUAGUUUCCCCGUUCGGGGGCAACGGUGACAGGUGGUGCAUGGUUGUCGUCAGCUCGUGUCGUGAGAUGUUGGGUUAAGUCCCGCAACGAGCGCAACCCUUAUUCUUAGUUGCCAUCAUUCAGUUGGGCACUCUAAGGAGACUGCCGGUGAUAAACCGGAGGAAGGUGGGGAUGACGUCAAAUCAUCAUGCCCCUUAUGACCUGGGCUACACACGUGCUACAAUGGACGGUACAAACGGGUUGCCAACCCGCGAGGGGGGAGCUAAGUCCGAUAAAACCCGUUCUCAGUUCGGAUUGUAGGCUGCAACUCGCCUACAUA